rnacentral:rRNA from 1 species
CGCACGGGUGAGUAACACGUAUGCAACCUGGCCGUCACAGGUGGAUAACCGGAAGAAAUUCCGACUAAUACAGCAUAACACUCCUGAGGGACAUCCUUCGGGAGUCAAAGGAGGCAACUCCGGUGACGGAUGGGCAUGCGGCGCAUUAGGUAGUUGGUGGGGCAACGGCCCACCAAGCCGACGAUGCGUAGGGGUUCUGAGAGGAAGGUCCCCCACAUUGGAACUGAGACACGGUCCAAACUCCUACGGAAGGCAGCAG